GUUGGAAAAAAGAUUCAGUAGCAGCAGUAGUACUACUAGUAGUAUCAGUAAUAUAAAUAGCAGUAGUAAUAGUAGUAGUAUUAGUGAUGGUGGUCAUAGUAGUAGUAGUAGCAGUAGUAGUAAUAGAAGAAGCAGUAGUAAUAUUAGUAGUAUUAGUGGUGGUGGUGAUGGUGGUAGUAGAAGUAGUAGUAGCAGUAGUAUUAUUGGUGGUGGUGAUGAUAGUAGUAGUAGUAGUCGUAGUAUUAGUGGUAGUGGUGAUGGUAAUAGUAGUAAUAGUAGUAGUAUUAGUGGUGGUGGUGGUGAUGGUAGUAGUAGUAGUAUUGGUGGUGAUGGUAGUAGUAGUAUUAGUAGUAGUAGUUGUAGUGGUGGUGGUGAUGAUGAUAGUAGCAGUAGUAGUAGUAGUAGUAGUAGUAGUAGUAUAAGUCGUUGUAGUGGUGGUGGUGAUGAUGAUAGUAGCAGUAGUAGUAGUAGUAGUAGCAGUAGUAUUA
ensembl:lncRNA